rnacentral:rRNA from 1 species
GACGAACGCUGGCGGCGUGCCUAAUACAUGCAAGUCGAGCGGACGGACGGGAGCUUGCUCCCAGACUGGAGGCGCCGGCCGGGGGGGAAAAACGUGGGAAACCUGCCUGUAAGACUGGGAUAACUCCGGGAACCCGGGCCUAAUCCCGGAAAAACCUUUCCCUCAAUUGGGGGAAAGGUGAAAGUUGGCAUCUCGCUAUCACUUACAGAUGGGUCAGCGGCGUGUUAGCUAGGUGGUGGGGUAAGGGCCCGCCAAGGAGCCGGUUCGUAGCCGACCUGGGAGGGUGAUCGGCCACACUGGGAGGGAGACAGGGCCCAGAGGACUGCGGGAGGCAGCAGUAGGGAAUGUUCGGCAAUGGACGAGAGUCUGGCACAACAACGCCGCGUGUGUUAUGAAGGCGUUCGGUGCGUAAAGCUCUGCUGUCAGGGAAGAACCAGUUCCGGCGUAAAUGCCGGGACCUUGACGGUACCUGAAGAAGAAGCCACGGCUAACUACGUG